GAACUACUCCCUCCGUCCCAAAAUUCUUGUCUUGGAUUUGUCCAAAUACGGAUGUAUCAAGUCACGUUUUAGUAUUAGGUACAUCCGUAUCUAGACAAAUCUAUGACAAGAAUUUUGGGACGAAGGGAGUACUAG
rnacentral:pre_miRNA from 1 species